rnacentral:rRNA from 1 species
AUUGAACGCUGGCGGCAGGCCUAACACAUGCAAGUCGAACGCGUGGCGGACGGGGGAGUAAUGUCUGGGAAACUGCCUGAUGGAGGGGGAUAACUACUGGAAACGGUAGCUAAUACCGCAUACCAUCGGAUGUGCCCAGAUGGGAUUAGCUAGUAGGUGGGGUAACGCCUCACCUAGGCGACGCUCCCUAGCUGGUUUGAGAGGAUGACCAGCCCCACUGGACAUGAGCCACGGUCCAGACCCCUACGGUAGGCAGCAGGGGGGAAUAGUGCACAAUGGGCGCAAGCCUGAUGCAGCCAUGCCGCGUGUAGUAAGAAGGCCUUCGGGUUGUAAAGUACUUUCAGCGGGGAGGCGUUACCCGAAGAAGAAGCACCGGCUAACUCCGUGCCAGCAGCCGCGGUAAUUC